UACGGAGGGGACUAGCGUUGUUCGGAAUUACUGGGCGUAAAGCGUGCGUAGGUGGUUUGUUAAGUCUGAUGUGAAAGCCCUGGGCUCAACCUGGGAACUGCAUUGGAAACUGGCUGACUAGAGUGCGGUAGAGGGGUGUGGAAUUCCCGGUGUAGCAGUGAAAUGCGUAGAUAUCGGGAGGAACAUCUGUGGCGAAGGCGACACCCUGGACCAGCACUGACACUGAGGCACGAAAGCGUGGGGAGCAAACAGG
rnacentral:rRNA from 1 species